rnacentral:lncRNA from 1 species
UGGAUUUUUAAUGCAAUGAUGGAAGGCUAUUGGGUACAGUCAAAUACUUGCAAAAUUUGUGUGUGGAUCAAGAUGAGAUUGACACCUCCAGAUUAUUGGAGUUGACGAAUCACUAUAUUUCAAUUUAGUAAAGCCUUGGUCAGGGUAAUCCAUGAGAUGGAUUUGAAAGAUUGAAAUAUAAUGUAGAUGAAGCAAUCUCGAUUGACAGUUAAUCUGAGACCAUCUAAGAGCAUCAAGGAUC